rnacentral:ncRNA from 1 species
GUGUUUUAUGAAAGUAAAGAAAUCGGUUAGUAGUGCCCUUGAUAAGAACGGAAAAAAUUCUAGGACCCUAUACUACGCACAUACAUUUAUGGUAUAACCAUCUCUUUAUAGCACUUUAAAAAUAUUUUU